rnacentral:lncRNA from 1 species
CCCGAAUACCUGGGACUACAGGCACCCACCACGCCCGGGUAAUUGUAUGACAAUGGAGAGGUGAUUACUGCGCUGAAAAUCAGUUUCCUGAAGUGAAAAAGGGAAUCAAGUUACGUCACAGAGCCUGGUGUGAGCGGCGCUCUGUCAACACCAGCUCUUCAUGGGUUGUGGUUUCCUCCAGUUCCUGGAUGUGUGGAGUUCAUCCUCCACUGACUGGCGCCCCGGUUGACAAUGAGGUCUGGUUCUGCUUUCAGGGGAGCCCACAUCAAGACGCUGGUUAAUCACCCUGCCAGUCACAUCAAGAUCAAACUCCAUAGGGCAUCUUAAAGGAACACCAGGUAUCUGAAUCUGUUAAGCCAUCAAUAUCACUGCUUGAGAAUUAUAACUUGUGCGAUAGGGAACGAUGUGUGUUAUUUUUCUUUU